rnacentral:rRNA from 1 species
UACGUAGGGGGGCAAGCGUUGUCCGGAUUUAUUGGGCGUAAAGAGCGUGUAGGCGGCCAGGUAGGUCGGUUGUGAAAACUCGAGGCUCAACCUCGAGACGCCGAUGGAAACCGUCUGGCUAGAGUCCGGAAGAGGAGAGUGGAAUUCCUGGUGUAGCGGUGAAAUGCGCAGAUAUCAGGAAGAACACCCGUGGCUAAGGCGGCUCUCUAGUACGGUACUGACGCUGAGACGCGAAAGCGUGGGGAGCGAACAGG